ACAGCACCCAGCUCGUCCCUUUUUUGUGUGUGCUUGUGGCCGAGCAGUGAUGAAAUCUUGUGUCCCUGUGGCAACAGGCGCCCUAAGUGCAUAACUGCUCUUGAGAGUGGAUGAACAAGCCUCAAAUGGAACCUGAGAAGAAGGGGAAAAAAGGGAGGGGAGGGAGAAAAUCAAUUUUCCCAGACAGAGGCCGGCUGGUCUAAUGGAGGGCUAAAAGAAGAGGAGGAGGAGAGGACAUAUUUUCCUCUGAUUACCUUCUGUAGCCUCCCUGGCAAACCUCGAAAGCUAGGAUUGCUAGAGCGGCCUCGCUCAUCUGACCUUUUCGCAGAAAGGAGUCCCAGAUGCCACAGAUGUGUUAAGGCUACCUGUUUGGAAAAGCUUUUACAGUUGACCAGGAGUGGCUUUUUGUGGUCUCUCUCUCUCUACAGGGAAACAGCAGAGAUGGGAGUUAGCAGAGAGACACAGAGCUUUCUUUUCGCCGGUAGCCGCAGGCAGCGGGGGCUGGAACGGCUGGCUGACCGCUCACCGCUUCACUCCGCGCGGCAGGCGAGUGGACCAGGCGCCGCUGAGCCCCGGGAAGACGCUACGCCGGGGCGAUGAAGUGAUUCCGCUACGGCUCAUUUUACAGGGGCAUAUGGUGUAGCUGCAUGCAACAGCUUUGAUUUAAUUCACAUUAUUAAGAGUUAUUUGUUGAGCAUAUUAUAUCCUAAAUACUGUUUAAUAUUAUUACUUUUGAUAUUUUCUUUUGUUCGCAGCGGUAAAACAUUUUAAGGAAACGUUUUAAUUAAAAAUGCAUAAAAAUCAGA